GACGGAGGAUGCAAGUGUUAUCCGGAAUCACUGGGCGUAAAGCGUCUGUAGGUGGUUCGAAAAGUCCACUGUUAAAAAUUGAGGCUUAACUUCAAAGAUGCCGUGGAAACUUUCAAACUAGAGUAUGGUAGGGGUAGAGGGAAUUUCCAGUGGAGCGGUGAAAUGCGUAGAUCUUGGAAAGACCACCAAUGGCGAAGGCACUCUACUGGGCCAUUGACUGACACUAGAGAGAGAAAGCUAGGGGAGCAAAUGGG
rnacentral:rRNA from 1 species